GACCCCAUCGGCUAGUGGUUAGGCCACCACCCUUUCACGGUGGAUGCACGGGUUCGAAUCCCGUUGGGGUCGCCA
rnacentral:tRNA from 1 species